rnacentral:rRNA from 1 species
GACGAACGCUGGCGGCGUGCUUAACACAUGCAAGUCGAACGGAAAGGCCCUGCUUUUGUGGGGUGCUCGAGUGGCGAACGGGUGAGUAACACGUGAGUAACCUGCCCUUGACUUUGGGAUAACUUCAGGAAACUGGGGCUAAUACCGGAUAGGAGCUCCUGCUGCAUGGUGGGGGUUGGAAAGUUUCGGCGGUUGGGGAUGGACUCGCGGCUUAUCAGCUUGUUGGUGGGGUAGUGGCUUACCAAGGCUUUGACGGGUAGCCGGCCUGAGAGGGUGACCGGCCACAUUGGGACUGAGAUACGGCCCAGACUCCUACGGGAGGCAGCAGUGCGGAAUAUUGCACAAUGGGCGGAAGCCUGAUGCAGCAACGCCGCGUGCGGGAUGACGGCCUUCGGGUUGUAAACCGCUUUCGCCUGUGACGAAGCGUGAGUGACGGUAAUGGGUAAAGAGGCACCGGCUAACUACGUG